UACGGGGGGGCAAGCGUUGUUCGGAAUUACUGGGCGUAAAGGCGCGUAGGCGGUUUCUUAAGUUGGAGUGACAGUGGGUGGGCUUAACCUACCCAAGGCCUCUGAAAACUGGGGGAACUUGAGGACCAGAGAGGGACGAUAGAAUUCCGGGUGGAGUGGUGAAAUGCGUAGAUAUCCGGAGGAAUACCAAAGGCGAAGGCAGUGUCCUGG
rnacentral:rRNA from 1 species